rnacentral:misc_RNA from 1 species
AUUUAAACCCUUUUACUCGGUUCAAAGACUUGAAAGAUCCUCCACUUUCCCAGAUGUUUCCUCCUUGAUUUUCCGAGAAAUUUAUAAGAGAAGAUCUCAUUCCUUACUUUGCACUAAAUUGACUUAUCCAAUCUCUUCCCUCUCUUGAAAAGCAGACGGUAGUUGAAGCUGGCAACCCAUUUGACCAGUCUCACCUUCCUCUUCAUCCUCCUCCUUUAAGAAAUUUUCAUCCAAUCUCUGCCCCUUAUAAUUUCCUUCUGUUUCUUGAAAGCUAUAUUAGGAAAAAAACAGAACUGAGGAAGGAAACUAACAAUCUGUUAAAAGAAAAGAUGAAUGAUUUGUUUGCUGGGUCUUUCUCUCGCUUCCGCAGUGAGGAAGCCUCCCCGGAUCACCAUGUAAUUCAGAUGUCGGAGACGCCGUCAACAGGCGGUGUCAAUCUUGAUAAGUUCUUUGAGGAUGUUGAGUCUGUUAAAGACGAGUUGAAGGAAUUGGAAAGGCUCAAUGAGAGCCUCCAAUCCGCUCAUGAGCAGAGUAAGACUCUACACAACGCUAAGGCCGUCAGGGAUUUGCGGUCGAAGAUGGACGCCGAUGUCGCUCAAGCGUUGAAGAAAGCUAAACUCAUCAAGGUUCGACUGGAGGCUCUGGACCGUUCCAACGCUGCCAAUCGGAGUCUGCCAGGGUGUGGACCUGGGUCUUCGUCGGAUCGGACCAGGACUUCUGUGGUCAACGGGUUGAGGAAGAAGCUGAAGGAUUCGAUGGAGAGUUUUAAUAGCCUGAGAGAGAAGAUAUCUUCAGAGUACAGAGAGACUGUGCAGAGGAGAUAUUUUACUGUGACCGGCGAGAAUCCCGAUGAGAGGACACUGGAUCGCUUGAUCUCUACAGGUGAGAGCGAGACUUUUCUUCAAAAGGCAAUCCAAGAACAGGGCAGGGGAAGGAUUUUGGAUACUAUAAAUGAGAUACAGGAGAGGCAUGACGCUGUGAAGGACAUGGAGAAGAAUCUAAAGGAGCUGCACCAAGUGUUCUUGGACAUGGCGGUAUUGGUGCAAGCUCAAGGAGAGCAGUUGGAUGAUAUUGAGAGCAAUAUGCAGAGAGCAAGCUCCUUCGUCCGCGGGGGAACCCAGCAGUUACAUACGGCGAGAGUUUACCAGAAGAAUACCCGGAAAUGGACUUGCUAUGCUAUCAUUCUUUUGCUGGUCAUCAUCUUGUUCGUGGUGUUGUUCACUGUGAGACCAUGGGAAAACAAUGGCGGUGGUGGUAGCAGCCAGCCAGCCCCUGCGCAGAAUCCACCUCCACCGCCCUCACCGGCGUAGGAUUUGAUGGGUUUGUAGCUCUAUACAUGCUGAUCAUAUGAACAUAUGUUAUAUUUUGUGGGAUAUUUGUUAGUUUGAAACUUGAUUAUUGUUUUGUUGAUUGAUUGAUUUAUUUUUAUUUUCCUUCCCUUUUUGUUUUCUAGAGCUGAAUUUUGAUGGAAAAUUGAGAUGUUGAUAGAUGAUGAGAAAGGGCAUUGAUGCAUAGUGUAGCACAUAUGAUUGAUACCAAUUGAAUUGAUUGCUUGAGAUGGGAUUGGAAGCUUAGCUUCUCCCAAAUCCAUAGUGUUACAAUGUUUAUGCAUGUUUAGAGAGGAAAUUCCAUUGAUUUUGCUGUUUU